UACGAAGGGGGCUAGCGUUGCUCGGAAUCACUGGGCGUAAAGGGUGCGUAGGCGGGUCUUUUAAGUCAGGGGUGAAAUCCUGGAGCUCAACUCCAGAACUGCCUUUGAUACUGAAGAUCUUGAGUUCGGGAGAGGUGAGUGGAACUGGCGAGUGUAGAGGUGAAAUUCGUAGAUAUUCGCAAGAACACCAGUGGCGAAGGCGGACUCACUGGCCCGAUACUGACGCUGAGG
rnacentral:rRNA from 1 species